rnacentral:rRNA from 1 species
UACGUAGGGUGCGAGCGUUGUCCGGAUUUAUUGGGCGUAAAGAGCGUGUAGGCGGUCUGGUAGGUCCGUUGUGAAAACUCGAGGCUCAACCUCGAGACGCCGAUGGAAACCAUCAGACUAGAGUCCGGAAGAGGAGAGUGGAAUUCCUGGUGUAGCGGUGAAAUGCGCAGAUAUCAGGAAGAACACCCGUGGCUAAGGCGGCUCUCUAGUACGGUACUGACGCUGAGACGCGAAAGCGUGGGGAGCGAACAGG